CAUUUAAUUUCUUUAUUAAUUUUUUAUAUAUAAUUUAUAUUAAAUAUAAAAAUAUAUUUUUUAAAUAAAAAGACGAUAAGACCCUAUUAAAUUUUACUUAUAGUUUAACUGGGGAAGUUUUAAAAAUAAAAUUUUUUAUAAAAAUAAAAAUAAAUCUAAUAAAAUUAAAAUUAAAUUAAAUUACUAUAGGGAUAACAGCAUUAUAUUUUUUAAAAGUUCAUAUUAAAAAAAAUGAUUGUGACCUCGAUGUUGAAUUAUAUUUUCUUUAUUAAUGCAAUAAUUAUAAAAGUAGAUCUGUUCGAUCUUUAAAAUAUUACAUGAUUUGAGUUCAAACCGGUGUAAACCAGGUUGGUUUCUAUCUUUUUAUAAAUUCAUAUAUAUAUAUAUAUAUAUAUAUAUAUAAAUUUUUC
rnacentral:misc_RNA from 1 species